AUGAUCUAUGGGUCUACUGGAGCUACCCACUUCGAUCAAUUAGCCAAGAUUUUGACCGGAUACGAAAUAACUGGUGCUCGAUCUAGUGGUAUUUUUAUGGGGAUUCUAUCUAUCGCUGUAGGAUCCCUAUUCAAGACCACUGCAGUUCCUUUUCGGGCGGCUGUAGAACGGACGACCGCCUAUAGGUGCUGCCUGCCUAGAAGAGCCACUCGCUCUGUAGUGUUGUCACACAAGAUAAGCACGCCGCCCGCCAGCUGGCCGGGAGAAUCUAAGUUAUCUUCCGGUCAACUGUCCACCGGGGUUGCUUCAUUCUGA